GCUUCCAAAGCCAAUUCAAAGUUAUCUUUUGCAGUCCUGAGGAGCGGGAUGAGGCGGCGAUCAUUGAGUUCGCAGUAAUCAAUGACUCUGUCUACUUCUUUCAAAGCGCUCCACCCCUUCGCUAUGAACUCCAUCGCCUUCUUAUUUCUACUAUGCAUCUCUCUAUGAGGAUUAUAGAAGUGAAGACGAGUCAGAAGAGAUGGAUUCUUCAUGUAUUGUCUCAGCAUCUCUGUGCAGUUGCGAGUAGCAGAGAAGGUUCCUGACUUCGUUCUUUGGGUUUCUUAAAUUUUCUCAAGCAUGUCCUGUGAUACUAGGCUGGCGAGUGGAAA
rnacentral:misc_RNA from 1 species